ensembl:lncRNA
AGUGGCGUGAUAAACAAUGAUAAACUCUGAGGAAUGCACUGACUCAGAGUGGAUCUGGGGGCUGAAAAAUUUCAAUAAAAGUGGGUUACAGAGUGAGACCAGUUCAUGCAAGGUCAACAUCAAAGCUGUAACUCUAGCCAUAUUCCCACGAGAUCUAUGCUUCAGCUCAGAGCUUCAAAAUCUAAUCACUCCUAAUAGAACAGUAUUGGAUUCACAGUACUCUUCUCUCUCUCUUAUUCUCAGUCACCUCGUAUGUCUUCUGCUUCUUAUUCUCCCCAUCCCCCAACCCCGCCCCUUUCUUUUUUCCCUCUCCUGUAUCUCAUAGUCCUUGGUGGGUGUGGAGGCCUUCUUCUGGCUCUGACGAGGGAUGGCUUUAUCUGAGUUUUUCAGACAGCCAGUCAGUCAGCAAAUCAGUUACUCUAUCACUACAGACACACUCGAGCAGCCCAGCAUGCCACUGACUCAUCAAGCCAUGCAAUCAGCCAUUCAGCAAGCAGGAUGACGUUACUUCAUUGUAAAAUAGAGCCGUUUUGAACCACAGGGAGAGCCACGUCUGGGACAAUUCUGGGAUGCUUCUGUAACGCCAUCCAGCAUGUUUAGCUCCAUUGGCUGUGCUGGAGCAAGAAUGUGGCAAGGGUGUAGUCUUUGUAAUCUUGGGCUAACAGUAUGUAUACAUGUGACAGAAAAUAAGGAAGGAUCAAAGAGAGGAUCAAAAACUCACUUCAGGUUUAUUAAUGCUUGUCUUUUUUUUCAAUGAAGUUUAAGUGCAUGGUUGAAAAGCAAUAAUAUUUGGGAAGUGAAAUGAAAGCCAAAAAUCCUGAAGCCAUAUAAGGAACAAAUCUUCAAAAUAAAGCAGGAAACAAAAGAGGGAACAGGAUUAGCAAACCUACACUAGCAACAGUGAACCACAGACAAAAGAACAAAGAAGAAAAAGAAAAAAAACAGGAAGCAAGAAGCAACAUUAAAAACACAUAGGAAGUGAUGGACUAAGAGUUAUAAAGAAAAACCACAGGCAUAGACAAAGCCCAUGGCAACUGGAUGAGUUUGUGGAAGAUCAGCAUGUGUACGAUGCAGCAAGUGCACCAUAAGAUGCUCAGCAUUUCUUAGGAGAGGAAAACUAGACCCCCGCUUAAAGCCCAAUCCUCCAGUGUGAAAGUAAAGCAAACUCCCACAUGUCGAGGAGUGACCUGUGAGUAAGCCUCUGCUAACAUGUUCCAUGUAGAAAUAGUCAUUCAGUCUACCAGGUCUUUGUUUAGCUGUGCUAAGUGCUAAGUGUACUUUUUUCUGCCUAGCUAGUUAGCUAAGAAUUCAUCCGAUCAGGCCACAAGUUCACACAGACCCUAACGGUGUUGUAACACUCCGCCUCUGUGUUUCCCUGCAUGGGCUACCUGACAGCAGGUUUCUGGAAACCUGUCAGAACACAGCAGGCACACACUCAUAACUGAGCCACAGCUGUUUGUCUUGGACAGAAGUAGAGGAGAAGGGAGAUGUUUUCCACCUCCCCUAAGCCUGUGAUUCAGCUAGAGAGCCAAAGUGGAAGGAUGAGGUAUUGUCUCGUGGUCAGAGAAUGAACUCAUCCCCCCCCACAUGAAAACAGUCACAGAAAGGAGGACCGUCGAGGGGAGUGCAGGGGCGGGAGGUGGGGGGGCAGUAGGUCGGGAUGAUGUGGCACAAGGGGCCAGACGUGGUUUUUUUCAGACAGACUUAAAAAACCACUAGCAGUGAUGGAAAUGAUGUGUUGCUACUUGGUCUCAAAACCACAAAAAUUCUGCCUACAAAGCCUUGGCACAAACGAGACAUCAGUGACUCCGGCUUAGAAAUAUGUCAGGCGGGCGGGGCUGCAAACAGCUGUGAAACUUGUUUUUUUUCUGUUUGGGACAGAGUCAGACACACUUUAAGGACAAAAACUCUUUCAAAGAGCGCAGUGAUGACUCCUAGCUUUGUUGAACCACAGGGCUUAUUCUUAGAACACUUUGGCCUUAAUCUUCAGUUUAUCAAAUGAAAGAAAACAACGCGUAAUAAUGGACCUUUGGUGCUGUUAAAAGAGCAGGAAGAGGAGAAACCAGUGAAAUGAAUCAGCAAUACACAACAGAUGGAAAUUCAGAUAUUUAUUGCAGCAUGUUUGGACUGCAAUGUGAAAUCAGCGGCUGUCUAGGAUUGUUUCCUGUACUGCUCUUGCUUUCUGUUUGCAUUCAUUCACAAAGUGCAGGACAGCAGAGUGUGUUUGGUGACGUUCCGUGAGAUGAAGAAAGCCCAGACAGCAAUUCUUGAGUUGUUUUGAUCCUCUUUUAGUUUAGAGGGAAGAACAGGCCAGUGGUCGCACUGCAUGGUUUAAAUUUCUGUUUUUGUUGUCUGCACGGCAUGGAAGUUUCUCACAAUGCUGCAGUGGUGAAACCAUUUACUAAACUGCACUCUGGCAGGACUUAAACCAUUAAGAUUUUAUGUAUAAAGUGAUAUAAAGUGAGAUGAAAACCAAACAAAGACAAAACAAAUGUUUCUCAGAAUCGAGUUGCUGCUUUUUGCUGCAACUUUAAACAUGCAACUUUCUUCUUCACAAACUCAUCACCUAGAAAGGCCAAAAAUUUUAAUAGUUGUUAAUUGGGUCAAAUGAUUACUUUUAAAGCAUAUUCUGAUAACACAGGGUUGGGAUUAGGGUCAUCAGUGUUUGCUUGGACCUCACGUGAUUCCCAUGUGAAGGCUGCUUCCAUAUUUUGUUGCUGGCUGACAAC